UACGUAGGGCGCAAGCGUUGUCCGGAAUCAUUGGGCGUAAAGAGCUCGUAGGCGGCCUGUUGCGUCCGCUGUGAAAUCCCGGGGGCUUAACCCCGGGCGUGCAGUGGAUACGGGCUGGCUGGAGGCAGGCAGGGGAGAACGGAAUUCCCGGUGUAGCGGUGAAAUGCGCAGAUAUCGGGAGGAACACCGGUGGCGAAGGCGGUUCUCUGGGCCUGUACUGACGCUGAGGAGCGAAAGCGUGGGGAGCGAACAGG
rnacentral:rRNA from 1 species